rnacentral:misc_RNA from 1 species
UCCGCGUUAACCACGGCAGUCUCAUUAGAGUGCUCAACUAAAUGGUAGCAACUAAUGAUAAGGGUUGCGCUCGUUGCGGGACUUAACCCAACAUCUCACGACACGAGCUGACGACAACCAUGCACCACCUGUCUUCCUGCCCCGAAGGGCUUCGCCGAGUUACCGGCUAUUCAGGAGAUGUCAAGUCUAGGUAAGGUUCUUCGCGUUGCUUCGAAUUAAACCACAUGCUCCGCUGCUUGUGCGGGCCCCCGUCAAUUCCUUUGAGUUUUAAUCUUGCGACCGUACUUCCCAGGCGGAGUACUUAUUGUGUUAACUGCGGCACAGAAGGAGUCGAUACCUCCUACACCUAGUACUCAUCGUUUACGGCGUGGACUAC